GAACAUGAGAGUUUGAUCCUGGCUCAGGAUGAACGCUGGCGGCGUGCUUAACACAUGCAAGUCGAACGAAACACCUUAUUUGAUUUUCUUCGGAACUGACGUUUUGUAGACUGAGUGGCGGACGGGUGAGUAACGCGUGGGUAACCUACCCUGUACAG
rnacentral:rRNA from 1 species